rnacentral:lncRNA from 1 species
UGUUUUGGUAUCUAUUAAUGUAAAUACACUGAAUGAAAUUUCUAAAGAAUAGUCCAAAUAAAAGAUUACAUUUUAAAUGAUAGGAUAAUUAAAUGUGAUGAUUUCCUAUAAGAUGGUCCAAAGUAAAAUAUCACACAUAAAACAAGUUAUAAUUUCUGUUUUAAUAUAUAAGAUAGAAUUUUGAUAUCAAAUUCACGAAGGUCUUUCAAAUUUUUUUGGAAGAUGUUAUAUUUAAGAAUAUCUUAUUAAAUAUAU